rnacentral:rRNA from 1 species
GACGAACGCUGGCGGCGUGCCUAAUACAUGCAAGUCGAACGCACUCUCGUUUAGAUUGAAGGAGCUUGCUCCUGAUUGAUAAACAUUUGAGUGAGUGGCGGACGGGUGAGUAACACGUGGGUAACCUGCCCUAAAGUGGGGGAUAACAUUUGGAAACAGAUGCUAAUACCGCAUAAAACCUAACACCGCAUGGUGUAGGGUUGAAAGAUGGUUUCGGCUAUCACUUUAGGAUGGACCCGCGGUGCAUUAGUUAGUUGGUGAGGUAAAGGCUCACCAAGACCGUGAUGCAUAGCCGACCUGAGAGGGUAAUCGGCCACACUGGGACUGAGACACGGCCCAGACUCCUACGGGAGGCAGCAGUAGGGAAUCUUCCACAAUGGACGAAAGUCUGAUGGAGCAACGCCGCGUGAGUGAAGAAGGUUUUCGGAUCGUAAAACUCUGUUGUUGGAGAAGAAUGUAAUCUGAUAGUAACUGAUCAGGUAGUGACGGUAUCCAACCAGAAAGCC